CACAAGGGUGCUUUAUACUGCUGUAGACCGGCGCGGGGGGUUUUCUGCGGUGCCGGUGCCCGGGAGAUGAGGUUGUGUAGUGAAUCAUGUACCGAAUACACCGCCGGGACUGCGUGUGGACGAGAUCCGUGUAUGCAGAGGAUUACGGCAGAUUCGAUGGAUUACGGGUGUAGUGAUAGGAUGGAAGAACCACACUGGUAUCGCUGCCAAGACCCCAGAUAACAAAGAGGAUAAUUUUUUACACAGUAGCUUUGGUACCAACAGGACUUGUUCUGAAAUUUAAUUUAAAUUUAAAGCAUACCUGUCACCAAAGAAAAUAACAAAAAACCCAAGGACGUUACUGUAAUUAGGAUCAUGUUCCUGUCACUUUUAUUUGUGUUGACUCUAGUUCCAGCCAGAGAUCUGCUCCAUGGUCUGCCUUACUUCCCCUGCAUGCCUCUCCCUAGCACAGGGCGUGUCCCUGAGCAAGCUGUGUCAGCUUUUACUAUCUGACUCUAUGGGGAAGAUUUAUCAAAACCUGUACAGAGGAAAAGCUGCUGAGUUGCCCAUAGCAACCAAUCAGAUCACUUCUUUCAUUUCUCAGAGGCUUUUUUUUUAUCAAAGAAGUGAUCUGAUUGGUUGCUAUGAGCAAUUCGGCACUUUUUCCUCUGGACAGGUUUUAUAAAUCUUCCCGAGUAUCUCAGCGCCUGAUGUAGGGACUCAGAUGAGGAGCUCUGAGAAACUAAAUGAUGCCAGAAACUGAAUAUCAAAUUAGCCUGUAUGAGGACAUCUAGUGGCCAGAGUUAUAUUGGCCAAAUAAAGAAAAGAAAAAAAGACCUAUAUUAGAGGGAGGCUUAAAAUUACUAUAUCUGUUACAAAUCAAUAUUUUAUGUUUGUGACAGUGUCUCUUUAAAUAACUAAUAACUAACAAAGAAUAGUAUUGUAAUUACAUUCACAAAAUGUAUGUAUAAAGGGAGAAAAAUAACAAAGUAAAUAUGA